rnacentral:rRNA from 1 species
UACGUAGGGUGCGAGCGUUAAUCGGAAUUACUGGGCGUAAAGCGUGCGCAGGCGGUUUUGUAAGUCAGAUGUGAAAUCCCCGGGCUUAACCUGGGAACUGCAUUUGUGACUGCAUUGCUGGAGUGCGGCAGAGGGGGAUGGAAUUCCGCGUGUAGCAGUGAAAUGCGUAGAUAUGCGGAGGAACACCGAUGGCGAAGGCAAUCCCCUGGGCCUGCACUGACGCUCAUGCACGAAAGCGUGGGGAGCAAACAGG